GUGGGGAAUCUUGCGCAAUGGGCGAAAGCCUGACGCAGCCAUGCCGCGUGAAUGAUGAAGGUCUUAGGAUUGUAAAAUUCUUUCACCGGGGACGAUAAUGACGGUACCCGGAGAAGAAGCUCCGGCUAACUUCGUGCCAGCAGCCGUGGUAAUACGAAGGGGGCUAGCGUUGCUCGGAAUUACUGGGCGUAAAGGGCGCGUAGGCGGACAGCUUAGUCAGAGGUGAAAGCCCAGGGCUCAACCUUGGAAUUGCCUUUGAUACUGGCUGUCUUGAGUUUGGGAGAGGUGAGUGGAACUCCGAGUGUAGAGGUGAAAUUCGUAGAUAUUCGGAAGAACACCAGUGGCGAAGGCGACUCACUGGCCCAAUACUGACGCUGAGGCGCGAAAGCGUGGGGAGCAAACAGGAUUAGAAACCCGAGUAGUCC
rnacentral:rRNA from 1 species